UUAAAGUGCAGUCGCUGCGCGCCACACAAACCCUUCAUAUACUGUCAACGAGGACGCGUCUGGGCGCACUGUUGAGGACGUGCAGGACCGGGCAGCGCCCCGAGGACACCCACCGAACCACGUUUUAAUGAGGGAAGCGACAAGAGACCGCACAUCAAGUGAGACAAGUCGUAUUUCAGCUAGGAAUUCAUCAAGAAUAUCCAUUUCCUACUGCCUGUCAUCAAGCCCAACCUUACUUCACCAGACGUCUCCGCCAUGGGUGUGAAGAUGCUGCAGUGUUUUCCUUUCUAUAGACGUUGUAAAGAACGCUGCAAGAGCAGACAGAUUCCCCAGCAGCAGUUCCCAUUGAGGAGUCGAAGCCCCGUCUGUCCUCCACUGCAUCAUGGGGUAGCGACAGCGAAGGAGCAGGAGGCCUGAGUCGCGGCUCCCAGAUAUAUUUCUCCACCAAGGCCAGGCUGUCUUUUAGACACCAGCUGGACAGCAACAUCAACGCAGUGGACGCCACCUACUGAGGAGGACAGAGGGCUGCAGAGGAGAUAAAUGGACUCCAGUGUCAAAGUUUUCCGUCUCUCAUUGAUGCUUGAAGGCCGUGGUGCAGACCCGGGAGCCUGAUAGCUGAGCAAACGCAUCUCCCGUCACCUAUUAGAUGUGAUCAACAGUAGUUGUGCACAGCUCACGUAUUAAGCCCACAAAGAAGUCUCAAUGACUAAUCAGAUUCAACAACGGACAGGGGAAAACAGACUGAAGCAGACUUGGUUUUUUUUAAGAUGACAGAACUCUAAACAGAGGGGAUCCACUGCACAGACGGACGUGAUACUGAUGAGAAGACAACAGAGAGACUUGUUUACAGCAUUCAUCACCAAAACGUGCAUUACUUUUUUCUUUUAAACUACAUUUGUGGGAAAAACUGCUGAUUUUUUAUGUCAUUUAAUAAUAAUAAUAGUGAUGAUGAUGAUGGCCCAUGUGAAAUAGCACUUGUUUCGCAAAGCAGGAUGAGGCAGUUAACCUUCAAAAUAAAAUGACAAAUCUCUCUGUCUAAACCUCAUCAUUAGCAGUCAACAUAAUUAGUGACUGAAUCAUGUUUCUAAACCUACUGUUGACAUUUCAUUUCAUAACCAGGACUGAGUUUACUUUCUAAUCCUGCUCUGUGACUAAACCACAGUACACUGACUAAAACACUGCAAAACAGAAGUUUCAUAGAAAGGCACUAACCCUAAUCCUAGAAUAAAUGCAAAGGGGUCAUGUUGACACUGUAGAAUAUUUGCAGACCAAGUUUGAGGACGCUGAGCAGCUGUUUGUGUUUUUUUGCCUCUAGUUAGUUCCUCUUUGGAAAGCAUUAAGUAAACUGAGCUGCACAGGCAUUUUGUCAUGUUUGGCUCCUGCUCACUCUGGCUAAUUUCUUCUCUUUAAUACUUUUAUAUUAAAAAGAAAAAAAUAAAACUCCUGGCUGCAUUGUCCGA